rnacentral:tRNA from 1 species
AGGGGUAUAGCUCAGUGGUAGAGCAUGUGCUUAGCAUGCACCAGGUCCUGGGUUCAAUCCCCUACCACCA